rnacentral:rRNA from 1 species
UACGGAAGGUGCAAGCGUUAAUCGGAAUUACUGGGCGUAAAGCGCGCGUAGGCGGCUUCGUAAGUCGCUGUGAAAGUCAUGGGCUCAACCCAUGAAAGCCGGCCGAUACUGUCGGACUAGAGUCCGGAAGAGGCGAGUGGAAUUCCCGGUGUAGCGGUGAAAUGACGCAGAUAUCGGGAGACACCGGUGGCGAAGGCGGGUCUCUGGGCAUCUCCUGACGCUGAGGCGCGAAAGCGUGGGGAGCAAACGGG